rnacentral:tRNA from 1 species
GCCGCAAUAGCUCAGGGGUAGAGCGCCUGUCUUGUAAACAGGGGGUCGGGGGUUCAAAGCCCUCUUGCGGCUCCA